GGAGCCGGUGACGCUGAGUGCUGAGUACCCAUCUCAGGGCAGUGAUGCAGAAAAGGGCGUCACCUCAGCCCUUCCCACCAGCGGGAAGAGAAGCUCUCAUGGACCACACUCUGCACCCCGCUACUGAGGACAGCUGCAUUGGUGUGGAACAUCAUAGCAUGGAGAGAGCCCUGCACCCACACAUCCUGGCUGCCAGGAGAACCCUGGAGAUGGGUUUGAGAUACAGCACUGAGACUCAAUUAAGGGCCUCCCACGUGCCUUGCAAAUGCUCCACCCAGCUGUAUCCCCAGCCCUGAUUCCAUUUUGUAGCCUUUUCACAUACUGUGAUUUCUACAUAAAUAAAUUUUAAUUUUGACAGAC